rnacentral:rRNA from 1 species
GACGAACGCUGGCGGCGUGCUUAACACAUGCAAGUCGAACGGUAAGGCCCUUCGGGGUACACGAGUGGCGAACGGGUGAGUAACACGUGGGUGAUCCGCCCUGCACUUCGGGAUAAGCCUGGGAAACUGGGUCUAAUACCGGAUAGGACCACUGCCUGCAUGGGUGGGGGUGGAAAGCUUUUGCGGUGUGGGAUGGGCCCGCGGCCUAUCAGCUUGUUGGUGGGGUGAUGGCCUACCAAGGCUUCGACGGGUAGCCGGCCUGAGAGGGUGACCGGCCACACUGGGACUGAGACACGGCCCAGACUCCUACGGGAGGCAGCAGUGGGGAAUAUUGGACAAUGGGCGGAAGCCUGAUCCAGCAACGCCGCGUGAGGGAUGACGGCCUUCGGGUUGUAAACCUCUUUCAGCGGGGACGAAGCGCAAGUGACGGUACCCGCAGAAGAAGCACCGGCCAACUACGUGCCAGCCGCCGCGGUAAAAC